GUCUGUGUGUGUUUGUUCUCUGCUGGUGGUGGUGCAAUUCUGAACUGCUCCAGGAAACAGAGGGAGGUGUAGAAGGGUAGAGGACCCGACUGAAGAAGAAAGGAUGAGAAAGGAGACAAAGAAACCCUGUUCAGCCCUAAGAGUGUGGGAAUCCUCAUGCCUGAGGCACAAUUAUAUCUCUGUCCAGCCUUGAGGAGCAUCUGUACGAGGAGGUGAGAUGAUACCACAACCUCUUCUAUCCUUGAUGUCGUUGUAUUCCGGACAAGAUAACAGCUGGAGGGAGAUAUCACAGGAUUUGAACACUGAUAGCAAAGAAAAAUGGAGAACCAUUUGGAACUGGCAUGUUCGCUAUCUGAAAAAGGCGAAGGAGCCAAGGAGUGCUGAUGCAGCUGAUUGUCCGACAACUGGGUUGGCUUUGUGAUUACGUGAAACAUUGUCAGACAGACACCUAUAUGCCAGAUACAGUAUAUACUCUUGUCCUUUUGUACAGUGUAUGUGUGUGUGUUUCUGAUAUUAUGUUUAGUAGACCUAGUUAGAACAUGUGAAAUCCGCUUGUGUACUUUCACAAGGUCAUUAGAUCAGUACAGUGUCAGCUCCAUCCUCUCUUGAGUGAGACAGAGCCCUCCAUGUCACCCCAAAAAUUGGUGGGUCAUUUACUAGGGGUUGCAUGUUUUUUGGCAUUGCUAUUCUCUCAUUCACAUGUUAGGUAUUGGGUAAUGUACUGUUUUUGCUUUGUGUUUUCUCUCUUAUUUCCCCUUUAAUCACACUUCUCAGAGCACAGUCGUCUUAUUGGCACCCUGUAUUUGACAUUGUACUAUGUUGUUCUCCUGAUAUUUCUUCUCGCGAUUAUCACCUGGGAAGAAAAUGCAUAUUUUGCAAAAGGUC